CAUUAUUUAAUAUGGUAAAGUGAACUAUUUGGGUUUUAUUACUCUAUCCUUUAUGUAUACCAAAAAAGGCUUAGUUUAAGGGGCCACUAUUAAAGAGAACAAAUUUUAUCAUAGGUCAUAGGAAUUGAGUUAAAUUCUUAAGCUUAUCUUUUCUUUUAGCUCUUUGAAGUUGACUUUCCCAGGUGCUUCUCUAUGAUCUGAAUAUCUUCUCUCUGCAUCCUCCCUUCUUGAAGAGCCAUCCUCUCAGCAGCCAUCAGUUGCCUAUACUGCCAUCUUUGCAGAAUUAUAAAUGACAGAAGGAAGAGCUUGGGAACAGAGAUUAGAAUUGUGGCCAUUAAAUCUCCAGGAACUCAUAAAAUCUGGUUGUUACUGCAGGAACCAGCUUUUGAAGAAAAUGAUUGACUUCUGAGACAACCCUGGGAGAUGUGAUGAUGAUCUCAUGGUUUUUUUCCCAUUGCUGGUGCUGUUAACUCCCUAAGGUCUCCAGCUUCUUUGUCUGAAUGAGGUAAACAAACUGCUUUCCCUGAU